UUGAACCCUGUAGGACCAUAAUAAGGAUUUACAGGUGAGAUGAUUGAACCCUGUAGGACCAUAAUAAGGAUAUACAGGUGAGAUUAUUAUUAUUAUUAUAUUAUGAUUGAACCCUGUAGGACCAUAAUAAGGAUUUACAGGUGAGAUGAUUGAACCCUGUAGGACCAUAAUAAGGAUUUACAGGUGAGAUGAAUGAACCCUGUAGGACCAUAAUAAGGAUUUACAGGUGAGAUGAUUGAACCCAUGAUAAGGAUUUACAGGUGAGAUGAAUGAACCCUGUAGGACCAUAAUAAGGAUUUACAGGUGAGAUGAUUGAACCCUGUAGGACCAUAAUAAGGAUUUACAGGUGAGAUGAUUGAACCCUGUAGGACCAUAAUAAGGAUUUACAGGUGAGAUGAUUGAACCCUGUAGGACCAUAAUAAGGAUUUACAGGUGAGAUGAUUGAACCCUGUAGGACCAUAAUAAGGAUUUACAGGUGAGAUGAUUGAACCCUGUAGGACCAUAAUAAGGAUUUACAGGUGAGAUGAUUGAACCCUGUAGGACCAUAAUAAGGAUUUACAGGUGAGAUGAUUGAACCUUGUAGGACCAUAAUAAGGAUUUACAGGUGAGAUGAUUGAACCCUGUAGGACCAUAAUAAGGAUUUACAGGUGAGAUGAUUGAACCCUGUAGGUCCAUAAUAAGGAUUUACAGGUGAGAUGAUUGAACCCUGUAGGACCAUAAUAAGGAUUUACAGGUGAGAUGAUUGAACCCUGUAGGACC